GCAGACACAUUCCAGCCAAUCAGCAGCAGACCCUCCCUCCCAGACCCUCCCACCUCCUGGACAGCAUCCAUUGUGAAGCUGCAUUCUUAAUGGAUGCUGUCCAGGAGGUGGGAGGGUCUGGGAGGGAGGGUCUGCUGCUGAUUGGCUGGAAUGUGUCUG